CCCUUAGAUGUUCUGGGCUGCACGCGCGCUACACUGACAUGUCCAGCGAGCUCCCAACCUGCUCGGCAAAGAAUGGGUACCCUUUUUAACGCAUGUCGUGAUGGGGAUAGAUUAUUGCAAUUGUUGAUCUUGAACGAGGAAUUCCUAGUAAGUGCAAGUCAUUAGCUUGUGCUGAAUACGUCCCUGCCCUUUGUACACACCGCCCGUCGCUCCUACCGAUUGGAUGGUCCGGUGAACUGGUCGGACUGAUAAUUGUCACUGCGGGUGCAGUAGCAUUACGGAAAGUCCGGUGAACCUUAUCAUCUAGAGGAAGGAGAAGUCGUAACA
rnacentral:rRNA from 1 species